UUCUGAAGAUCUGAGGAGUCAGUAGAAGAAAUAUGAACACUUGGAAUCCAGCUUUUUCUGAAACAGGUCUUGACCUCAGUGACUAGAAACUGAUGAACAACUCACUGCUUUCCUUGAGAACCUUGGGGUCUCAGAGGGUCUCGGUCUGGGCUGCAACCUUCUCCAUCACUUGGGUCUGUACAAAAUACAAGGUUGUCUAUCACGUUCCCUCUAAGUUGCACUGGAAGUGGAAAUCAUUCCUACUCAUUGUUACAAUAGUUCAGUGGAUAAAGCAUUGACCGGGGAGACCUGUAUUCAGCUAUUUCCUCUGGCUCAGGAAAUUCAAGCUUAUAUCUUCAAUCUCCAGAAAAAAUCACCACUAUAACUGCAGGUUAUAAUGAUAAAGAAUAAAGGAAUUUUCUGCCUCUUCCAUUGAAAA